rnacentral:lncRNA from 1 species
CAGUGCUUUUAUUUACUAUGCACUUAGACUAUGCACUUUUUCUGAAAUAUUUUUGUAACACUUUUUUGUAUUUUUGCCAUUUGAAAAGGUUGUGGUGUAGUUGGUCUGUACUUAAGUUGCAGAUUUAAACCUGCUGUUAGCUUUGUAAAUCAAAAUAUAGGUGUUUUUGUCCUGUUAUAUUGUUAAUUUCAUCUGCAGCUGGAGCUGGAAUCCCAUUGAUCUUCUAGCUACCAUUCAUUUUCUGCACAAUUCACAAAAGAAGAUUGAGAAAUUCAGUGAAUGCUGUUACUAAUCCUGUCGGGAGAUGAAUCUCAUUUCACCAAAAUUAAAUUAUGUUUUUCCACAAAAAUGAUGACACAAGUUGAAGACACAUCACUCUGAAAUUGGAAGACCUCACCACUUAAGGCUCCACGGUGGCUUUCUCAGCUGAACUCUAGGCUGCCCUCCCGAUUCCUGGAAUCAAGUGAUCUUCCUUCUUCAUGCUCCCAAGUAGCUUGUACCACAGGGUUUCAUCUCUGGAUCUGGUUCCUGAAACUUCUUUGAGCUGAAAAUCGGGAUUGUUUGCUGUUUCCUCCCACCCUAACUACCCCUCCACCGUUGACUGUCUCUGGCCAGACAGAGUUUCAGCCUGUAUCGAUAGCACAUCCAUCUGUGAUCUCAAAUGUGGAUCUCAAAAACAACAGCAGCAGCAAAGGGGCCUGGAAAAGCUGGCUACCACAUUCACCUCCCCUCCAAAACGAUGUCCUUUUCUAAAACCAGCUUGCUGAAAGCUCCCCGUGUCAGCUGUUUGAGCCCUGUACAAUCAGCUCUAUACAAUGCAGGGGAGGCAGCAGGCUCUACUGAUUCACUAAACCACUCUGGAAAUUUGUAUAAUGCUGGCUGGCCCCUAACUCACUGGCGUUAGCAUUUUAGCUCAGGCCAUUAACUUUGCUUUUGUAUCUGGAUCUACUUGGAUUCUUGCCUCUUUCCAACCACAUUAAUUAUCUCAGCUUUCAUCAGGAC